ACAACAUUUGGACCAUCUCGGUCUACCGAGCCACCCACUCGGUGGAAGAUCUUCUCCCCGUCGU
rnacentral:pre_miRNA from 1 species